rnacentral:rRNA from 1 species
GACAGAGGUGGCGAGCGUUGUUCGGAAUCAUUGGGCUUAAAGAGCACGUAGGCGGCCCGUCAAGUGUCUUGUGAAAUCCCUCGGCUCAACCGAGGAAUUGCUGGGCAUACUGUCGGGCUUGAGGUAGGUAUGGGCGAGUGGAACUCUUGGUGGAGCGGUGGAAUGCGUAGAUAUCAAGAGGAACGCCGGUGGUGAAGACGAUUCGCUGGGCCUAUCCUGACGCUGAGGUGCGAAAGCCAGGGGAGCAAACGGG